rnacentral:rRNA from 1 species
CUGGAGGUAUCAGAAGUGCGAAUGCUGACAUAAGUAACGAUAAAGCGGGUGAAAAGCCCGCUCGCCGGAAGACCAAGGGUUCCUGUCCAACGUUAAUCGGGGCAGGGUGAGUCGACCCCUAAGGCGAGGCCGAAAGGCGUAGUCGAUGGGAAACGGGUUAAUAUUCCCGUACUUGGUGUUACUGCGAAGGGGGGACGGAGAAGGCUAUGUUGGCCGGGCGACGGUUGUCCCGGUUUAAGCGUGUAGGUGUGUGUUCCAGGUAAAUCCGGUUCACUUUAACACUGAGGCGUGACGACGAGGCACUACGGUGCUGAAGCAACAAAUGCCCUGCUUCCAGGAAAAGCCUCUAAGCAUCAGGUAACACGAAAUCGUACCCCAAACCGACACAGGUGGUCAGGUAGAGAAUACCAAGGCGCUUGAGAGAACUCGGGUGAAGGAACUAGGCAAAAUGGUGCCGUAACUUCGGGAGAAGGCACGCUGACAUGUAGGUGAAGUGAUUUACUCAUGGAGCUGAAGUCAGUCGAAGAUACCAGCUGGCUGCAACUGUUUAUUAAAAACACAGCACUGUGCAAACACGAAAGUGGACGUAUACGGUGUGACGCCUGCCCGGUGCCGGAAGGUUAAUUGAUGGGGUCAGCGCAAGCGAAGCUCCUGAUCGAAGCCCCGGUAAACGGCGGCCGUAACUAUAACGGUCCUAAGGUAGCGAAAUUCCUUGUCGGGUAAGUUCCGACCUGCACGAAUGGCGUAAUGAUGGCCAGGCUGUCUCCACCCGAGACUCAGUGAAAUUGAACUCGCUGUGAAGAUGCAGUGUACCCGCGGCAAGACGGAAAGACCCCGUGAACCUUUACUAUAGCUUGACACUGAACAUUGAGCCUUGAUGUGUAGGAUAGGUGGGAGGCUUUGAAGUGUGGACGCCAGUCUGCAUGGAGCCGACCUUGAAAUACCACCCUUUAAUGUUU